AUACGGAGGGGGCCAGCGUUGCUCGGAAUUAUUGGGCGUAAAGGGCGCGUAGGCGGCUUGGUAAGUCUGAUGUGAAAGCCCACGGCGCAACCGUGGAAGUGCAUCUUAUACUGCCAGGCUGGAGUCUGGGAGAGGGAAGCGGAAUUCCCGGUGUAGCGGUGAAAUACGUAGAUAUCGGGAGGAACACCAGUGGCGAAGGCGGCUUCCUGGACCAGUACUGACGCUGAGGCGCGAAAGCUAGGGGAGCAAACAGGAUUAGAAACACCAGUAGUCC
rnacentral:rRNA from 1 species